UGCCGGUAAAGUGGCCGAGGUCGUCAUCACACCCGUACGGGGGAAAGCCGGUGCAAUUCCGGCGCUGGCCCGCAACCGUGAGCCGCCGCAGGGCGGUGAGCCGGACUGCCUCGCACGGGAUGUUGAC
rnacentral:ncRNA from 1 species